GAUAACAAUGCAAUCCUAUUCUAGAGUCCAUAUCAACAAUAGGGUUUACAGCUUUGAUGCUGGAUCAGGACAUCCUAAUGGUGUAGCGGCUGUUAAGGCUUCGUUUGUUCAGUGAUUAAAGUCCUAUGUGAUCUCAGUUCAGAUCAGAGUAAUCCAGGUC
rnacentral:ncRNA from 1 species